AAAUCAAAAUAUUAUUACAGAAAAAAAAUUAUAAGACAAACUAAAGGGUCAAUUGCAAAACUAGCCAUAUUUGAUAAUUUAAUUAAGAAUAUAGCAUCAUAUACAUAUAAAUUAAAAAAAUAGCAUAUAAGGGUUGGGAAAAGACAAUUUUGAUGUGCAAUAGUUGAUGAGAGAUGAUUUACUAACACUUCAUUUAGUUUUCAUCUAUUUGUAUGUUUUUGUUAUAUAUCUUUUCCAAAAAAUUGAUUCUAAUUAUGAAAUUUAUAAGAUAAAAAUUUCUGCUUUUUUCUACAUACAACAUAGUUUAAAUUUUUAAAAUCGGAUUUGUAUUUAUAAAAUAGUAAAAAAUGUUUGUAAGUAAAUUUAUAUUGUACUAUUUAUGAUGUAUAGAAAUAGAAUGUUGUACUAUACUAUUUUCAUAAAUCAUUCGUAAUUUAGUUUUAAUUUUAGUAUAAAACAAAAUAUUUUAAAUUAAAUAAAGUAAUAGUGGUGGUAGUGGUGGUGAGAUAGUAGUUUAUGUUGCAAUAUUACCUACGAUAAUCGUAAAAGAUAAAACAUAGACGAUUUAAAUUACCGAGUUAAAGCGAUAUGAUCCCCAUUAAAAAACUAUACCCUAAGAGAUACAAUAUUGGGAACCCAAGCAAGCAAAUUAACUGUUGUAGUGACGGUAAUACGAUUGUAGUGACGACAAUACGGUUAUAGCAGUGAGCCACUGAUAAGGAUAAUGGUGACUUGGUAGUAGAGGUAAUGAUGUAAUAAUAUAGGUGAUAAUUGUAUUAUGAAUUUUAUUAUGUGUAAUAUUUUUUUUUGUUAUAAUAGAAUAGAAAGUACAUAUAGAAAAUAGAAGUAAAAGACAUUAAGAGAGAGAUUAAGAGAUAGAGAAAGGGAGAGAGAGAAAGAGAGAGAGGGAGAGAGAAAGAGAGAAAGAGAGAAAGAGAGAAAGAGAGAAAGAGAGAAAGAGAGAAAGAGAGAGGAAGGGAGGGAGAGAGAGAAAGAGAGAGAGGAAAAGAGAGAGAGGGAAAGAGAAAGAAAGAGGAAGGGGGCAAAAUUGUGAUUAAUACACAAAAUAUAAAGAAUAUCAUCUAGUUUUUGUUUUGAUGGUACUUUCUUAAUUAUAAAUUUU
rnacentral:sRNA from 1 species